CGGGUUCUGGAGAUGACUGCUAGACGGCUGCUGCUGCCUUCACACGAGUGAAGUAAUUUUCUUUCUCCUCUCCCUCCCCUCCUGCAGACUCCAUAACAUUGAAAGAAGAGAUCUUGUGGAAGGCCAUAAAAAUUGCAGAGAUUGACUUUAAUUGUCAUCAAAUACAAAUCUACCAGGAUCUCUCAUGGAAGAUCUACAUAAGAGGUGCUUGAUCCACUCACCGAUGAUAUUAUGAAACAUGAUAUAAACUUUUACUGUAUCUUCCACCUUAGUAUCCAGGUAGUUCUUGAGGGGACUCUCUGCAUGCACCAAGAUUAUGAGAAUGUCCGGAAAUUCUGCUCUUCUUUGGGUUUGCCAUCCCUCACACUUCCGAAUUGGCUGGACUCCCAUGAGUGGUCUACACCAUCUCAGCCCCUGAAGGAAACAUACACAAGGUUCAGAAUUACAGAUGGCAACAAAGCAGCAGCUCAGAGACUUCUUCUUCUGCAGUCACUUGAACAAGGACUCUGUUUCUUAUAAUCAGACAUUAUCUCCGACACCCCCACCUCGUCAUUGGUGCUGAAGAUUUAAUGAACAACUCCUUUGGGACUCGAUAUGACAACCACAACUCGUGGAGGCCAUAGAUGCUGAGAAGGCUUUCCAUCGGGUGAACUGGGGCUUUAUGGCAGUGAUCCUGAGGCAGUUGGGUCUGGGUGAGGUGUUCUUACAGAAGAUUCUCUCUUUAUAUCAGGAACCAUCAGCACAGUAGUCACAAGACAUUCCAGAUGGCCUAUUCAAUUCCAGCACAUAUAGAUUCAAUGUAAAUUAAAUACAAUUGUAACCGGCAAGCCUCACUGCUUCUGGAUCGCCAAACAGGGAUUGAAUCUAACUGCAAGGUGUAACAGGAAAGAAAAGAUGUGGAUGAAAUAGAGAAAGACAGCGCCUGAUAGAAAAUUAUUUUUUAUAGAAUUGUAAAAAGUAGAAACGUUUCCAGUGUUGUUGUCUUGCUAUGAAUUUGCCAAGUUAAUUUGGAAGCCCAGGAGAUAUAUAAGAAGCAGAGAAAGCCAGACACCCUGCCCCUAGAAGGAGAAAUGAAGAACCUGAACCAUUAGUAUGGGCUUUGCUUAUCAUGAUAUGUCUACUUUUUAGAAAAUUACCAUUUACUGUAUUACUGCUAUGAAAAAAAAAAUGUAUUAUUAUUAUUCCAAAAUGGAAAUACAGUAUUAUGAGAAGGUAACAUCUCAUAGGCUUAUGUCAAUUUCAGUUUCCAAACUAUGGAGGUUAUUCAUGUUUUUAAUAGCAAACCAAA